UGACCUGCGGCGGGAGAGUCCUGCCCGGUACAUUCAGCAGGCGCCGUAGGAGCAAACCCUCCCCAGGAAACUCUCAGGCCCCCGUACCGCCGCGGAAAG
rnacentral:ncRNA from 2 species